rnacentral:rRNA from 1 species
AACGAACGCUGGCGGCAUGCCUAACACAUGCAAGUCGAACGAGACCUUCGGGUCUAGUGGCGCACGGGUGCGUAACGCGUGGGAACCUGCCCUUAGGUUCGGAAUAACUCCCCGAAAGGGGUGCUAAUACCGGAUAAUGUCUUCGGACCAAAGAUUUAUCGCUUUUGGAUGGGCCCGCGUUGGAUUAGCUAGUUGGUAGGGGAAAAGCCUACCAAGGCGACGAUCCAUAGCUGGUCUGAGAGGAUGAUAAGCCACACUGGGACUGAGACACGGACCAGACUCCUACGGGAGGCAGCAGUAGGGAAUAUUGGACACUGGGCGAAAGCCUGAUCCAGCAAUGCCGCGUGAGUGAUGCAGGCCUUAGGGUUGUAAAGCUCUUUUACCCGGGAUGAUAAUGACAGUACCGGGAGAAUAAGCACCGGCUAACUACGUG